AUCAGCCUCUCAUCAAAACCGUUCAGACGCAGCACGCGUCUCGUAUAUAAUAAAUAUCCAAUCAAUCAAUGACACAACUUUCAAAUAUUUUUUUUUUUUUUUUAUCGAAAAGAUAGUUUGAGAAAGAAUUAAUUCGAAGAACGUUUAACAUUGUUUCACCGUUGACAGGUAAUUUUCGUAAAUUUCGACGAACCUUAACAGACAAAUCUUUUGAACAAAGAUCUUUUUUUUACAGAUAUGAAUAAAAUUAUUAUUUCAGCGAUGAAACUUCUAAUAUAUUAAUCUUAGUUAUACGAUAAAAAUUAUAAAUAUAUGUAAUUAACGAGUUUCGAACUUGAAAUUUAUCGCACGUGAGAGGUUAAGUUUCCAUCGAUUCAGGAUUUGUACGUUAAAUCGUCCAUAAUAUAUUUUAGAUAUUCGUAUAAUGUUAUUUACGAGAUGGAAUACAAAAAAAAAUGAAUUUGAAAUUUCAAUUCAAUUAUUCUUCUGAAAAAUAUAUGUAUAAUUAGUACGUGAAACAUACGUAAAUCAUAAAUAUGACUAAUUUAACCUCUAACCAAAUUAAAGUAUCAAGAUUAACUUGGAUCCGGAGCUUCGAAAUCUGGACCACGAUUGUGAAAAUUGGCGCGACAUUUAACAUGUGAAAAGCCGAAAUUAAUAGUACGGCAUUAUGUAAGCGGGCUUUAAAUUAUUAGUAACUGUGAUGCGAAACAAGCCGACAUUUCCGUGGAUUCUACGCGAAAAUGUGUAAACUCACAAUUGAUUUAUAUAACUUUUGCUAACAUUUGUUGCAAUUUGUUAGCAUUAAAACAGCAUUAUAUUAUAUCAACAUUCUUUUGACUGAAAAAUCACAAUAUAAAAAAAUUAAUGUACGUUUUACACGCAUAAUGGCGAUGCAUUAAGUCCUGAUUUCAAUGCUAUACUUAUAAAUAAGAGUUGUAUACCAAAAGAAUGUGUUACAUAAAUAGAACCAUUUCAUUUCAUCUAAAAAAAAAAA